CACUUACUAGCAGUGUGACCCUAGGCAAGUCACUUAACCCCAAUUGCCUCACUUAAAAAAAAAAUUGUUUUGUAAGAGGUUUUAAUAGGGACAUCUGAGGAGUCCCUACAAGGUACCAGUUAGAGCUUACUCUUUCAUUGGAAAAGAGUUGAGAAACAGUUGUAUUAGCUGUGUGACUGUGGGCCGGUCACUUGACCCCAAUUGCCUCA